UACAGAGGUCUCAAGCGUUGUUCGGAUUCAUUUGGGCGUAAAGGGUGCGUGAGGUGGACGCUGUAAGUCGGGUGUGAAAUUUCGAGGCUUAACCUCGAAACUGCAUUCGAUACUGCGGUGCUUGAGGACUGGAGAGGAGACUGGAAUUCAUGGUGUAGCAGUGAAAUGCGUAGAGAUCAAUGAGGAAGACCAGUGGCGAAGGCGGGUCGCUGGUACGUGAACUGGACGCUGGAGACGCGAAAGCGUGGGGAGCGAACAGGA
rnacentral:rRNA from 1 species